CGUGUAGGCUGCUUGGAAAGUCGGAUGUGAAAGCCCUGGGCUCAACCUAGGAAGUGCAUUCGAAACUUCCAAGCUCGAGUUUCGGAGAGGAAGGCGGAAUUCUCGGUGUAGAGGUGAAAUUCGUAGAUAUCGAGAGGAACACCGGUGGCGAAGGCGGCCUUCUGGACGAUAACUGACGCUGAGACGCGAAAGCGUGGGGAGCAAACAG
rnacentral:rRNA from 1 species